AACCGACAUUGUUAGCACAGAGCGAAUUAUCCUUUCCCCUUUUACUAAAGAAUACCGUGUGCUCGCAGCCUAAAGCGGCAUACGCCUAUUUUUGGGAGGUCCUUUUCUUCUUCA
rnacentral:snRNA from 1 species